UAUCCCUCUUUCCCUAUCUUUCACCACUAUGAGCUCUGCCUAACCUAGUGGGGCCAGUGUUCUGGCUAGGCCUCACUCAGACCAGGGACUCUAGUGGAUGUCCUGCCCAGCUACCCGCACCAGAGAUGGGGCUGGGGUGCAGGUCUGGUUAGGCCUCAGACCAGGGACUCUAGUGGAUGUUCUGCCCAGCUACCCGCACCAGAGAUGGGGCUGGGGUGCAGGUCUGGUUAGGCCUCAGACCAGGGACUCUAGUGGAUGUCCUGCCCAGCUACCAGGACCAGAGAUGGGCUGGUGAACAUCCUAUGGGAGGAUUAACAGAAGAAGAGUAACAAGGACACGUGUAACUUUGAUAAAGAAUUCACUAAGAUGCCAGUGGAUUUGACUCCUACAGAUAAACUGUUUAUAAUGAACCUGGACCAAGACGAGUUUCUGGGAUUCUCCUACACCAACCCUGAAUACCCCUCUGAUGAGGUAACCAGGGAGGAAGAGGAGGAGGAGGAAGGACAGAGCUAAGACACACACACACCAACCCUGAAUACCCCUCUGACGAGGUGACCGGGGAGGAAGAGGAGGAGGAUGAUGGACAGACCUAAGACACACACACACCUGAACACACACACACACAAACACACAUAGGAAAAUCAACUCUCCUUCCCUCCUCUCUCUCUUGUUUUCUGUCUAAUCCCUCGUUCUGACGGCUUCUCUCCUGGAGUUUCGUUUGGUGUGAUGUCACAGGGUUGGUAAUGCGGCAAGACACACACACACACACACACACACACACACACACACACACACACACACACACACACACACACACACACACACACACACACACACACACAACACACCCACUCAGUAAAUGAGGAAUGGUUCUGACUCCCCCAGUGAGCCAUUUCAGAAGCACAAACAGCAACAAUACUUCCUUCCUCAGUUAUUCAUUAAUUAAUACAUGUAUUUAUUCAUUAAUUAAGACUGUUAUUUAGUUAUUUAUUCAUUUAGUUAUUUAUUUAUUAAUUAAUUUAGUUAUUUAUUUAGUUAGUGUUCUAUUUAUUUAGUUAUUUAGUUAUGUAUUUAUUAAUUAAUUUAGUUAUUGAUUUUUUCUCAUUUUGUGGGAUCUAAAUCAGAGUAAGGUGUGUGUGUGUGUGUGUGUGUGUGUGUGUGUGUGUGUGUGUGUGUGUGUGUGUGUGUGUGUGUGUGUGUGUGUGUGUGUGUGUGUGUGUGUGUGUCGCUGGCUUACACUAAUUAGCUCCAACUCAAAGGAAUAAUAUGAACCUACAGUCGUAUGGCUUCUACAGGACAUUACUGUAAAAUCAGAGGAAUUAAUAUGGGCCUACAGUCGUAUGGCUUCUACAGGACAUUACUGUAAAAUCAGAGGAAUUAAUAUGGGCCUACAGUCGUAUGGCUUCUACAGGACAUUACUGUAAAAUCAGAGGAAUUAAUAUGGGCCUACAGUCGUAUGGCUUCAACAGGACAUUACUGUAAAAUCAGAGGAAUUAAUAUGGGCCUACAGUCGUAUGGCUUCUACAGGACAUUACUGUAAAAUCAGAGGAAUUAAUAUGGGCCUACAGUCGUAUGGCUUCUACAGGACAUUACUGUAAAAUCAGAGGAAUUAAUAUGGGCCUACAGUCGUAUGGCUUCUACAGGACAUUACUGUAAAAUCAGAGGAAUUAAUAUGGGCCUACAGUCGUAUGGCUUCUACAGGACAUUACUGUAAAAUCAGAGGAAUUAAUAUGGGCCUACAGUCGCAUGGCUUCUACAGGACAUUACUGUAAAAUCAGAGGAAUUAAUAUGGGCCUACAGUCGUAUGGCUUCAACAUGACAUUACUGUAAAAUCAGAGGAAUUAAUAUGGGCCUACAGUCGUAUGGCUUCAACAGGACAUUACUGUAAAAUCAGAGGAAUUAAUAUGGGCCUACAGUCGUAUGGCUUCUACAGGACAUUACUGUAAAAUCAGAGGAAUUAAUAUGGGCCUACAGUCGUAUGGCUUCUACAGGACAUUACUGUAAAAUCAGAGGAAUAAUAUAAGCCUGCAGUCGUAUGGCUUCUACAGGACAUUACUGUAAAAUCAGAGGAAUUAAUAUGGGCCUACAGUCGUAUGGCUUCUACAGGACAUUACUGUAAAAUCAGAGGAAUAAUAUAAGCCUGCAGUCGUAUGGCUUCUACAUGACAUUACUGUAAUAUCAGAGGAAUUAAUAUGGGCCUACAGUCGUAUGGCUUCUACAGGACAUUACUGUAAAAUCAGAGGAAUAAUAUAAGCCUGCAGUCGUAUGGCUUCUACAGGACAUUACUGUAAAAUCAGAGGAAUUAAUAUGGGCCUACAGUCGUAUGGCUUCUACAGGACAUUACUGUAAAAUCAGAGGAAUAAUAUAAGCCUGCAGUCGUAUGGCUUCUACAGGACAUUACUGUAAAAUCAGAGGAAUUAAUAUGGGCCUACAGUCGUAUGGCUUCUACAGGACAUUACUGUAAAAUCAGAGGAAUUAAUAUGGGCCUACAGUCGUAUGGCUUCUACAGGACAUUACUGUAAAAUCAGAGGAAUUAAUAUGGGCCUACAGUCGUAUGGCUUCUACAGGACAUUACUGUAAAAUCAGAGGAA